UUUUUAGAAUAAAAAGAACAAAAGUAGUGAUGGAAAGGAAUAAUAGCAGUACAAAUUAAAUACACAAGAGUUCUCUCUCACAGUUCUUUUUAUCUUCUCAAAUCCAUUCUUUUUUUUUAAAAAAAAAAACACAAGUAAAUCUUAGCCUUAAAAAUACUAAAAAACAAACACAAAUGCACGGCAAGAAUCAAAGCAAUCAAAGAGAAUGGCAACGAACCAGAUCUGAAGAUGGCCCAGUUCGACUAGGUGCUCGCCGGAGUUGAUGCGGUGGUCGAUGGCAGUUGAUCGAUCGAAUCCGGGCGGUGAAUACCAGAGCUGCUCCGAUGCGGCGUUUCCGGCGGCUGGUGCGUAUGUAUGCAGUUUUGGUGUAGAUCGAAACUGUUAGUGUGGAAAUAUGUACGUGAUCAUGUCGUGAAUGAGAGCGGAUCGGUUAUUAUGGUGACUGUAGGGGAAAGAAAAAAUAAGGGUUGAUUUUUUGUGGUUGUUUUGGAACCGUCCUCUUGGUUUAUUUGCAAUGUGGAAUGUACAGACACCGUGGGAUUUGGGUAGUGAUAAUUGUGAAUCGUUGUUAGUGUAAUGUGGUUUAUGAGUUUUUGUUGGUAGAACACGUGAGAAGAGAGGGUUAGGAUUUGUUAGCCCUUAUAGGGUCAAUGGAACCAACAGCCAGUUAAUUGUCAUCAAGGCCUUGUCUUCCAUAGUUAAUUUCUUUUUGAUUUUUGAAGAUGCUGUCUUAAGGUUGUUUUGGAAAGAAAAUAACUUUGUCGUGUAAGUGUUUUGGAAAUAAUUGGAAAGUCUCUUUUUUUUUUUGUUAUU